rnacentral:rRNA from 1 species
UGCUUUACACAUGCAAGUCGAACGGCAGCAUAGGUGCUUGCACCUGAUGGCGAGUGGCGAACGGGUGAGUAAUGCAUCGGAACGUGCCCAGUCGUGGGGGAUAACGCAGCGAAAGCUGUGCUAAUACCGCAUACGAUCUAUGGAUGAAAGCGGGGGACCUUCGGGCCUCGCGCGAUUGGAGCGGCCGAUGUUAGAUUAGGUAGUUGGUGAGGUAAAGGCUCACCAAGCCUACGAUCUAUAGCUGGUCUGAGAGGACGACCAGCCACACUGGAACUGAGACACGGUCCAGACUCCUACGGGAGGCAGCAGUGGGGAAUUUCGGACAAUGGGCGAAAGCCUGAUCCAGCAAUACCGCGUGCAGGAAGAAGGCCUUCGGGUUGUAAACUGCUUUUGUACGGAACGAAACGGUCUAGAUUAAUACUCUGGGCUAAUGACGGUACCGUAAGAAUAAGCACCGGCUAACUACGUGCCAGCAGCCGCGGUAAUACGUAGGGUGCAAGCGUUAAUCGGAAUUACUGGGCGUAAAGCGUGCGCAGGCGGUUUUGUAAGACAGGCGUGAAAUCCCCGGGCUCAACCUGGGAAUUGCGCUUGUGACUGCAAGG